rnacentral:rRNA from 1 species
AUUGAACGCUGGCGGCAUGCCUUACACAUGCAAGUCGAACGGUAACGGGCCUUCGGGUGCCGACGAGUGGCGAACGGGGGCGUAAUACAUCGGAACGUGCCCGAUCGUGGGGGAUAACGAGGCGAAAGCUUUGCUAAUACCGCAUACGAUCUACGGAUGAAAGCAGGGGACCGCAAGGCCUUGCGCGGACGGAGCGGCCGAUGGCAGAUUAGGUAGUUGGUGGGGUAAAAGCUUACCAAGCCGACGAUCUGUAGCUGGUCUGAGAGGAUGAUCAGCCACACUGGGACUGAGACACGGCCCAGACUCCUACGGGAGGCAGCAGUGGGGAAUUUUGGGCAAUGGGCGCAAGCCUGAUCCAGCCAUGCCGCGUGCAUGAUGAAGGCCUUCGGGUUGUAAACUGCUUUUGUUCGGAACGAAAAGCCGUCUAUUAAUACAUGAGGGUCAUGACGGUACCGAAAGAAUAAGCACCGGCUAACUACGUG